UGAUUACCCAUCUUUCCAGGUUUGAACAGGGCUUGGAGUCGGAUUUGUUUCUGCUUCAAUGCUGUGGUGCAUAUCUUCUCCAGAGUUCUUUGUGAGGACCAUUCAAGAAAGAUUUGGUUUGUCAGAUUAUACAUCUCUGGAUCUCACUCAAUAGAAUGAGUAUGAGUCAGUUCUUAUACAAGAAAUGCUAACUUUUAUUGUGCAAUUAGUCAAAGAACGCAGAUUUUGUGGGCGUUCCACAGCAGACAACUUGAAGAGAGAAUUGAUUUAUAAAUUGGCUGUCGGAGAUGCCACCCAUAGCCAGAUUGUGAGGUCUCUUCCCCGUGACCUUUCGUCAAGCGAACAAUUUCAAGAUGUUCUAGAUUCAGUCGCAGUUUGUUCUGAUCCAUCUGGAAAGAAAAAGGGCAAGUAUGUGCUUCACGAAGCAUUCUGGAAGGAGUUGGACUUGUAUCACCCGCGAUGGAGUUCUAGGG